GACGGAGGAUGCAAGCGUUAUCCGGAAUGAUUGGGCGUAAAGCGUCCGCAGGUGGCAGUUCAAGUCUGCUGUCAAAGACCGGGGCUUAACUUCGGGAAGGCAGUGGAAACUGAACAGCUAGAGUAUGGUAGGGGCAGAGGGAAUUCCUGGUGUAGCGGUGAAAUGCGUAGAUAUCAGGAAGAACAUCGGUGGCGAAGGCGCUCUGCUGGACCAUAACUGACACUCAGGGACGAAAGCUAGGGGAGCGAAUGGG
rnacentral:rRNA from 1 species